UACAGAGGUCCCAAGCGUUGUUCGGAUUCAUUGGGCGUAAAGGGUGCGUAGGCGGCGCGGUAAGUCGGGUGUGAAAUCUCGGAGCUUAACUCCGAAACUGCAUUCGAUACUGCCGUGCUUGAGGACUGGAGAGGAGACUGGAAUUUACGGUGUAGCGGUGAAAUGCGUAGAUAUCUGGAGGAAUACCGGUGGCGAAGGCGGCAUCCUGGACCGGCAUUGACGCUGAGGAGCGAAAGCCAGGGGAGCAAACGGG
rnacentral:rRNA from 1 species